rnacentral:rRNA from 1 species
GACGAACGCUGGCGGCGUGCUUAACACAUGCAAGUCGAACGGAGUGGCGAACGGGUGAGUAACACGUGGGUGACCUGCUCUGCACUUCGGGCUAAGCCUGGGAAACUGGGUCUAAUACCGGAUAGUGUGGGAUGGGCCCGCGGCCUAUCAGCUUGUUGGCGGGGUAAUGGCCUACCAUGGCGGCGACGGGUAGCCGGCCUGAGCAGGUGGACGGCCACAUUGGGACUGGGACACGGUCCAGAAUCCUACGGGAGGCAGCAGGGGGGAAUAUUGCACAAUGGGCGGAAGCCUGAUGGAGCGACGCCGCGUGGGGGAGGACGGGCUUCGGGUUGUUAACUCCUUUCACCAUCGACGCGGUAGAUGGAGAAGAAGCACCGGCUAACUACGUGCCAGCAGCCGCGGUAAUUC